rnacentral:rRNA from 1 species
ACGGGUGAGUAACGCGUAUGCAACCUACCUAUACAGGAGGGGAAUAACCCGGCGAAAGUCGGACUAAUACCGCAUAAAACAGGGGCACCGCAUGGUGAUAUUUGUUAAAGAAAUUCGCUGAUAGAUGGGCAUGCGUUCCAUUAGGUAGUUGGUGAGGUAACGGCUCACCAAGCCGACGAUGGAUAGGGGAACUGAGAGGUUGGUCCCCCACACUGGUACUGAGACACGGACCAGACUCCUACGGGAGGCAGCAGUGAGGAAUAUUGGUCAAUGGGCGGGAGCCUGAACCAGCCAAGUCGCGUGAAAAGGAAGAAGGAUCUAUGGUUCGUAAACUUCUUUUGCGAGGGGAAUAAAGUGCAGGACGUGUCCUGUUUUGUAUGUACCCUGAGAAUAAGGAUCGGCUAACUCCGUGCCAGCAGCUGC